rnacentral:misc_RNA from 1 species
GUUCUCCUUUUCAAUUUUCUGAGUGGAGUUGGGGCCAUUAGUUCUUAGAAGUGCAACUUAAAACACAAACAUAAUUUGUAUGUUACUGUAACUUGUCUGAUGUGAUAAUGUAUGUUGACUUGGUAUAUUAUUCGGAACAAGCAUAGGCUAGACUCCGUGCAUCGCUUAGAGAAUUACUCUUCAGCUUUGUGUGCACGGAGUCUAGCCUAUGCUUGUUCCG